rnacentral:rRNA from 1 species
CGAAGCAGUGACACAGAAGGAUAGGACGAGCGCGGUGAUGGUCAACCGCGUAGGCGGCACGAGGCUGGGGAGCAGUUAAGUACACUUCCCAAGAAGGCUGAGUGCUGACAGGACCGAAAAAGAGUAGGGAAGCGUCUGAGUUCACGCUGGCGAGAAAAGCUGCUAAGGAGAGUGUGAGUGCCCGUACCGGAAACCGACGCAGGUGGGCGAGGAGAGAAUCCUGAGACGGACGGGAGAACUCUUGUUAAGGAACUCGGCAAAAUGACCCCGUAACUUCGGGAGAAGGGGUGCCUCGAAAGAGGCCGCAGAGAAUAGUCACAAGCGACUGUUUAGCAAAAACACAGGUAUCUGCGAAAGCGAGAGCUGACGUAUAGGUGCUGACGCCUGCCCGGUGCUGGAAGGUUAAGGGGAAGUGUUAGGGGAAACCCGAAGCAGAGAACCGAAGCCCCAGUAAACGGCGGCCGUAACGAUAACGGUCCUAAGGUAGCGAAAUUCCUUGUCGGGUAAGUUCCGACCCGCACGAAUGGCGUAACGACUUGUGAGCUGUCUCAACAGGAGGCCCGGUGAAAUUGAAGUAUGUGUGAAGAUGCACAUUACCCGCGACUGGACGGAAAGACCCCGUAGAGCUUUACUGUAACCUGACAUUGGAUCUUGAUAACGGAUGCACAGGAUAGGUGGGACGCAGAGAGACGAGGACUUCGGUUUUCGUGGAGCGGCCGUUGGGAUACCACUCUUCUGUUAUUGAGAUUCUAACCUCAAGCCGUAAGCCGGAUGAGAGACAGUGUCAGGCGGACAGUUUGACUGGGGCGGUCGCCUCCGAAAGAGUAACGGAGGCGCCCAAAGGUACCCUCAGAAUGGAUGGAAACCAUUCGAAGAGAGCAAAGUCAGAAGGGUGCUUGACUGCGAGACCAACAAGUCGAGCAGGUACGAAAGUAGGGCUUAGUGAUCCGGCGGUAAGAGAGUGGAAUUGCCGUCGCUCAACGGAUAAAAGCUACCUCGGGGAUAACAGGCUGAUCUCCCCCAAGAGUUCACAUCGACGGGGAGGUUUGGCACCUCGAUGUCGGCUCGUCGCAUCCUGGGGCUGAAGCAGGUCCCAAGGGUUUGGCUGUUCGCCAAUUAAAGCGGCACGCGAGCUGGGUUCAGAACGUCGUGAGACAGUUCGGUCCCUAUCCAUCGUGGGCGAAGGACACAUGAGAGGAGCUGCUCCUAGUACGAGAGGACCGGAGUGGACGCAUCACUGGUGCAACUGUUGUCGUGCCAACGGCACAGCAGGGAAGCGAAAUGCGGAUGGGAUAAACGCUGAAGGCAUCUAAGCGUGAAGCCCACCUCAAGAAUAAGUGUCCCAUUCGAAAGAAGUAAGACCCCUGGAAGACUACCAGGUGAUAGGUCAUCGGUGAAAGAGUGGUAACAUUUGGAGCUUGGUGAUACUAAUCGGUCGAGGACUUGACC